CCUACGGGAGGCUGCAGUGGGGAAUAUUGGGCAAUGGGCGCAAGCCUGACCCAGCAACGCCGCGUGAAGGAAGAAGGCUUUCGGGUUGUAAACUUCUUUUCUCAGGGACGAAGCAAGUGACGGUACCUGAGGAAUAAGCCCCGGCUAACUACGUGCCAGCAGCCGCGGUAAUACGUAGGUGGCAAGCGUUAUCCGGAGUCAUUGGGCCUAACGGGAGCGUAGGCGGGCGUUCAAGUCAGCUGUAAAAUCGCGCGGCUCAACCGCUCCCCGCAGUUGAAAAUGGACGCCUUGAGUUCACAACAGGCAGGCGGAAUGCGGGGUGUAGCGGGGAAAUGCAUAGAUAUCACGAGGAACCCCGAUUGCGAAGGCAGCCUGCCGGGGUGCGACUGACGCUGAGGCUCGAAGGUGCGGGUAUCAAACAGGAUUAGAUACCCUUGUAGUC
rnacentral:rRNA from 1 species